CCUACGGGUGGCUGCAGUGGGGAAUAUUGCACAAUGGUCGCAACCCUGAUGCAGCGACGCCGCGUGUAGGAAGACGGUCCUCUGGAUUGUAAACUCCUGUCCCCAGGGACGAAGAUGACGGUACCUGGGGAGGAAGCUCCGGCUAACUACGUGCCAGCAGACGCGGUAAUACGUAGGGGGCGAGCGUUGUCCGGAAUUACUGGGUGUAAAGGGAGCGUAGGCGGGGAUGCAAGUUGGAUGUUAAAUCUACCGGCUCAACUGGUAGUCGCACUCAAAACUGCAGCUCUUGAGUGAAGUAGAGGCAGGCGGAAUUCCUAGUGUAGCGGUGAAAUGCGUAGAUAUUAGGAGGAACACCAGUGGCGAAGGCGGCCUGCUGGGCUUUUACUGACGCUGAGGCGCGAAAGUGUGGGGAGCAAACAGGAUUAGAUACCCGAGUAGUC
rnacentral:rRNA from 1 species